rnacentral:tRNA from 1 species
GCACAUAUCAUUUAACAGUAAGACAUUUGACUUUCACUCGAAUAAUGAGAGUUCGAUUCUCUCUAUGUGAUU